rnacentral:misc_RNA from 1 species
CAAAGAAGCAGGCGAUUUUGUCAAAGAUGUCGUCCUGUCUAACGUAGUGGUAAAAUCUCUGUAACCUAGAAAUACAUAACUAAAACAGUAGCUCUGACGUGUCGGAGCUACAGCAAGAAUACAAAACAGUAGAAUAUCCACCAAAAAAGGAAGUAUGGGGACCUGCAUACUGGGUUUACAUUCAUACUUUUGCAAGUCAAUAUCCUGAGAAUCCUAAUCGUUCAGAUAGGAUUGAGGCUAAGGA